ACUAUCUGAGGGCAGGGUUUUUAUACACCCCAGAGGGACGGAGCCCUGACAUUGAGAACAAAGCACGUAUCAAGAAUCUGUUGUUCAGAGUGCCCACCAUGGGGCUGCUUGUUCCUGGUUUUGGGUUUAAGGCAAAGAAUUUCUACUUAUCUUGAUCAGUCAGGGACUUAGGCUGAUGAAGCAGCCAUCAUCUCAACAUCACCAAAGGAAAAGAAAGAUGAAUCUUACCCUAUGUCUAGAAUGGAUAGAGAGGAAAACAUGAUGACACUAAAAGCAUCAUUCAACUUCAAAUCAAAAUACUAUCUUUGCAAGAUAAAAUAAUGUUUACAAUUAUCUCAGUAAUAUUGUUACUGUAAAUUUUAAUUUUGCCAAUCCAUUUUCUACAUAGAUUAAAUAAAAAUAUUUUCCCUGAUUAUUGUUAGUAUUUUAUUACUUGGGGAAUUGUUUUAAUUGGGGGCCUUCAUUUUUCACCAUCAAUCAGCUCUUAAUAAUUAAAUAUAUCACUAUACAUUAUAAGCAGUAUUUGGAAAUGCACAAAGGAUUCUUAGUUCACAAGAAAUAGAAUAAUCGGAUUAUUUUUUGACUGCAAAC